rnacentral:misc_RNA from 1 species
GUUUAUUGUUUAUACAAUAAUUGUAUGGAAUAAAUUUGCACAAAUGUCAAAAGAUUUUGAUGCUAAAGUAGAUCAAUGGCUAACCUAUGUUUGCUUCACUUUUGACAUUUCCUUCUUCCCUACUAAAUCUCAGCUUUUUUAUUUUUUUAAUUUUUUGCUUUUAUAAUUCAAGGACUGUUGAAGGGUGUUGAAUCCAAGACCCCACCUAGAUUUUCUUAGGUACCAACCAAGCUAGUGUUUGGCACUAGAAUAAUCAUCAAGAAGUCUUUAAAUAUGAAGAUUUUCCCUUUAGUCUUUGAAGAGAAGCAUUACAUAGAGCUUAUCUUGAUUAGCUUGCUUUAAUGGCUUCUUGUUACUAUCCUGAUAUAUUUUCUUGGGUUCAGAAACUUCCACCAGUUUCUCAAUGGAAAGAAAAUUCCAUGUCCAUAUGCAUAUGUUCUUCUGCUUCAUCUCAACCAUCCCUUAAUCUUUCCGUGAUCAAGAACCCUUUCUCUCCUACUAUUUCCUUCUCUAUUGUUGCAUAUUUCAAUCUUCCCAUCUCUCUUUGGACCUCAAAGCCCAUUAAUACCAACCGUAAAUCCUUCAAAUUAUUAGAUAAUGAUACAGUUUCUAGUCUUCUAAUCAACCUCGUUGAAGAUGUUCUCAGUUAUUGUUCAAACAAGUGUAAAUCCUCCAUCCAAGUUCCAAAGUUAUUGGAUUCUGUUUCCAACAUUAAGGACAUCUUCAAUCUUGUAUUUUUCACACUUUCAUUUGUCAUUUGCAUCUAUGAAGCUCCUGCUGAUCUCAGGUCCAAAUGUCUUGAUAACCUCAAGACUCAACUUACUAAUUCUCAGCUAAGAGAAGCAUUGAAAUUGUUUAUGAAAACCAUAGGAUCCAAUCUUGAAGAGCAAUGGACGCGUUCAGUAAAUCUUGCAAUUACCAACUGGAUUCCAGAGCUCCAAGCUACUAGUACAACUUUGAAGACACCAUCACCACUCUUUUCUUACUCACUUUCAACUUUCGAACUAUGGAAAGUUCAGUUAUAUUGUCCUAUCAUCUCCAUGGAUAUUGAAAGUUCAAGCAACUCUUCAGCUGAUGAGAGACUGCUUUUUUCCCUUAAACACCAUCAACUUGAAGGUGUAAUCCAGUUCAAUUACAAAGUCAUCAUUCAAGAGAAGUGGGUUGAUGUGAUUGUAGUUAUAGAUAAUAUAAGAUGUGAUAUUGUCCGACUGGUGAAUGAUACUCUCAUGAAAGAACAAGGAGUUGGUAUUGAAGAGAAGCAUUUUCCUUCAAGAAUAUCUUUACAUCUAACACCAAUUCUCCAAACCAACAUAAUAAGUGUUUCAGUAAGCAAAUCUUCAGAUAAUCCAACGACAGAGAUUGAAGUAGGAAAAAGCAUUGAAACUUCAUUUGACCCUCCUAAUUCUUUCUUGGGGCUUAAGCUUGCAGUUGGAGAGACAAUAUCUACAAGCUUGAAACCUUGGAAAUUUGAGGAAUCAGUUCAUGGGUAUAGCUCAAUAUUGAAUUGGUUUCUUCAUGAUAGCAUGGAUGGAAGAGAAGUAUCCUCCUCAAAACCUUCAAAGAUGGCUUUGAUCAACCCUAAAGCUUGGUUCAAACACAGAUAUUCAAAUGCUCAUAGACCUUUCAAUAGGCAAGGUGGGGUGGUGUUUGCAAAGGAUGAGUAUGGAAAUGGUAUAAGAUGGAAGGUUGACAAAAGUUCCAUGGGGAAGACAAUGGAGUGGGAGAUUAAAGGGUUUAUUUGGUUAACAUAUUGGCCUAAUAACUAUAUAACAUUUCAUAGUGAAACCAGGAGAUUGGAAUUCAGAGAAAUUCUUCAUCUUACCAUAGCUUAAUUAGGUAUAUGAUUAAGUUUCCCACAUAUCAUCAUCAACUUUGUAGUUUUCGCAAGGUAAUUAAUUACCUCUUGAUGUUCUUCAAUUUCUGUUCUAGAAUAAUAAAGAUGAAUAUUUUAUUAUUUUU